AAAACUGCCUUCUGUACAAAAACCCUAUGAUCCACGCACCCUGUGUCUAAUCCUCUGCAAUGGGGCCAGUCUGCAGAUCCGUCUGGGCGGGCUGCGGUAGCAUUCUCCACCUGCCAACACUCAGUUGCUGGUGAGUAACCAGCAUACGGACACUCACUUCCUAGAUGACGCCUUGCUCUGUUGCCCAGGGUGAUCUGUAACUCCUGGCCUUUAGCGACUCUCCCACCUUGGCCUCCUAGAGCACUGGGGUUACAGGCAUGAACCACUGUGCCCAGCCUGCAUGAUGUAAUCUCCAAAUUGAGGGUAGGGGGGAGAGUGGUCUCACAACCGAAGGGCACCAGCCACUGAGAAGUCCUAAGGCUAUGUUUGAGUUCUGGCUCGUCUUUUUUGCUAAUUUGUUCUUGUGCCUAUCACCCAACCUCUCUAAGCCAGUUUCAUCGUCAGUGACAACAGCACACUGACAGGCAGGGCCUGCUCAGGCGCUACCACGAGCUGCACAUCUGUCCAUUUGUUCAAUCUUCACAGCAGCCCUGGAGGUCACCCAGGCAUGGAAUGCACAGCUCUGCCAGACAGAAAGCGCUUUGGAUGCCUGAGAAACAACAGCUUGUCCGGGCCACUGAUGCAGAGAGAGGCCACGGUUUCCUUUUUCUCUGCUCUGAAUGGCAGCCUUGACGUCACAACAGCUAGGAACCACUGGAGGGACAAAUAACAAGGCGCAAGCCAGAAGCGCCCUGCUCUGUCGCAGGGGCAGGGCCAUUUUCAUCCAGUUCUGAUGUCUUCUGUGGUCGCUGCGAGUCGGCGGGAGCAGAGACAAAUGACUGGAGCUUUAGGCGUAAAGCCGGUGUCUCUAGGCUGAUCAAACAGCCCUUGCCCAGUGCUAAUUGCCUUCAUGGAACCUGGAUAAACUAUAGUUCCCGAAUUAAACUUGUUUCUGACGAACUAGA